rnacentral:rRNA from 1 species
UACGAAGGGGCUAGCGUUGCUCGGAAUCACUGGGCGUAAAGGGUGCGUAGGCGGGUCUUUAAGUCAGGGGUGAAAUCCUGGAGCUCAACUCCAGAACUGCCUUUGAUACUGGCGAUCUCGAGUCCGGGAGAGGUGAGUGGAACUGCGAGUGUAGAGGUGAAAUUCGUAGAUAUUCGGAAGAACACCAGUGGCGAAGGCGGACUCACUGGACUGGUAUUGACGCUGAGGUGCGAAAAGCGUGGGGAG